rnacentral:rRNA from 1 species
UAGGGAAUAUUGGACAAUGGGUGAGAGCCUGAUCCAGCCAUGCCGCGUGCAGGAAGAAGGCGUUAUGCGUUGUAAACUGCUUUUUGCCAGGGGAUAAAAAGACCGUGCGCGGUUAAUUGAAGGUACCUGGUGAAUAAGCCACGGCUAACUACGUGCCAGCAGCCGCGGUAAUACGUAGGUGGCAAGCGUUGUCCGGAUUUAUUGGGUUUAAAGGGUGCGUAGGUGGCCCUGUAAGUCAGUGGUGAAAUAUCUCAGCUUAACUGAGAGGGUGCCAUUGAUACUGCAGGGUUUGAGUACAGAUGAGGUAGGCGGAAUUGACGGUGUAGCGGUGAAAUGCAUAGAUAUCGUCAAGAACACCGAUAGCGAAGGCAGCUUACCAAGCUGUAACUGACACUCAAGUGCGAAAGCGUGGGGAGCAAACAGGAUUAGAUACCCUCGUAGUCCCUGAGCGGGCUGGCAAGGCGCAU